rnacentral:rRNA from 1 species
AUUGAACGCUGGCGGCAUGCCUUACACAUGCAAGUCGAACGGUAACGGGCCUUCGGGUGCCGACGAGUGGCGAACGGGUGAGUAAUGUAUCGGAACGUACCUUUCAGUGGGGGAUAACGUAGCGAAAGUUACGCUAAUACCGCAUAUUCUGUGAGCAGGAAAGCAGGGGAUCGCAAGACCUUGCGCGGAUUGAGCGGCCGAUAUCAGGUUAGCUAGUUGGUGAGGUAAAGGCUCACCAAGGCGACGAUCUGGAGCGGGUCUGAGAGGAUGAUCCGCCACACUGGAACUGAGACACGGUCCAGGCUCCUACGGGAGGCAGCAGUGUGGAAUUUUGGACAAUGGGGGCAACCCUGAUCCAGCCAUGCCGCGUGAGUGAAGAAGGCCUUCGGGUUGUAAAGCUCUUUCGGCCGGGAAGAAAUCGUAUCAGCUAAUACCUGGUGCGGAUGACGGUACCGGCAUAAGAAGCACCGGCUAACUACGUGCCAGCCGCCGCGGUAAAAC